CCCUUAGAUGUUCUGGGCCGCACGCGUGCUACACUGAGUGGAUCAGCGGGUCAGGUUGCGCGAAAGCGUUUCCUAAUCUUUAAAUCCGCUCGUGAUGGGGAUUGACGGUUGCAAUUUUCUCUCAUGAACGAGGAAUACCUUGUAAGCGCGGGUCAUCAUCCCGCGCUGAAUACGUCCCUGCCCUUUGUACACACCGCCCGUCGCUCCUACCGAUUGAGUGGUCCGGUGAGGCUUUGGGAUCUGAGCGGAAAGAGCGUUUCGCUGUUUCUGCCCGGAAAACUCAGUCGAACCUUAUCAUUUAGAGGAAGGAGAAGUCGUAACA
rnacentral:rRNA from 1 species